ACCACCAUGACCCAUGAGGUUCAAAAUGCAUUUACGUCCCAUUUGAUCUCAAAAGGUUUCUACUCAAGAAGUGACUCAUUAUAAGAUGCAUGUACUUGUACAAUUUGCCCCCACAAUGACCACGACAUAUGUGGCUAAUUUACAUUUGUUGAUGGAUGAUGUAAUCUUCAAUUUUAAGAGAGAGAUCGUAGCUCAAGUGUGAGAUUAGAUAUUCUAGAAGACAAAGGACAAAUACAACAAAAUGUGUUAAAACAUUAUCAGAUCAACUUGUAUUCAUGAUAGAGAGCAUCAUCAUACCAGCACACACAAGGAGAAAUUUGAUGCCAGCGAAAAACUGUAAACUUAUUGGCAAACAAAACACAGAACAAUGGUAAACUUAAACUUUAUCACUGAUUCUAACAUAUUUGGUGAAUGCAUGUACGCUAGACAUAGAGAGAGAGAGAGAG